rnacentral:rRNA from 1 species
AGAACGAACGCUGGCGGCAUGCCUAAUACAUGCAAGUCGAACGAACUCUUCGGAGUUAGUGGCGCACGGGUGCGUAACGCGUGGGAAUCUGCCCCUUGGUUCGGAAUAACAGUUGGAAACGACUGCUAAUACCGGAUGAUGACGAAAGUCCAAAGAUUUAUCGCCAAGGGAUGAGCCCGCGUAGGAUUAGCUAGUUGGUGAGGUAAAGGCUCACCAAGGCAACGAUCCUUAGCUGGUCUGAGAGGAUGAUCAGCCACACUGGGACUGAGACACGGCCCAGACUCCUACGGGAGCAGCAGUAGGAAUAUGGACAAUGGGACGAAAGCCUGAUCCAGCAAUGCCGCGUGGAGUGAUGAAGGCCGUUAAGGGUUGUAAGCUCUUUUACCCGAGAUGAUAAUGACAAGUAGUAGGAGAAUAACGCCCGGACUAAC